rnacentral:sRNA from 1 species
GUUUUGCGUGAGGGAUAGCAGCCGGAAAUCCUUUUCUUUUUUUAGAAAAAUAAAAGAUUGGAGCGUAUAGCCCGACCCGUA